CAGUAGCCGCGGUAAUACGAAGGGUGCAAGCGUUAAUCGGAAUUACUGGGCGUAAAGCGUGCGUAGGCGGUUUGUUAAGACAGAUGUGAAAUCCCCGGGCUCAACCUGGGAACUGCAUUUGUGACUGGCAAGCUAGAGUGUGGCAGAGGGGGGUGGAAUUCCGCGUGUAGCAGUGAAAUGCGUAGAUAUGCGGAGGAACACCGAUGGCGAAGGCAGCCCCCUGGGCCAACACUGACGCUCAUGCACGAAAGCGUGGGGAGCAAACAGGAUUAGAUACCCGCGUAGUCCCUGUCUCUUAUAC
rnacentral:rRNA from 1 species